GAGUCAGGCAAUAUUUAGCGGCACAUGAGAGAAAGUUGUCGUAUUGGAGGACCCUUCAACUCAAAUAAAAUGGCUGCACACGGGACGGCGAAAAGUUGGUUUUGUAAGUUGGGAAGGAGCGUAUGCCAGAAAUUCAAAACCAAUCGUUAGUUGUCAUACAAAAGUAACAUUAGGCAUUUGUGAAGUUAUUGUCAGUGUCCCGUGUCCCGAAAUGAGACGUCAGUUGUGCGGACACCUGUACGACAAACAGCAAAAUCAAUUAAGCGCGGUGCGAUAAAUAGGCUGUAAAAAUGUAUAGCCUAAAAUAAUAGGUCGUGCGUGUGCGCGCGCGCGCUUUACUGGCUCGUCAGGUGGCUGCACCUCAGAGGAACUUGCAAAGCCGCACCACUGGGUGGCAUGACGGCGCGUAAUAAGCGGCGCAACCACCUCUCCUCUCCCCCUCCUCCCGCUGCCUUUGUGCCUGGUUUCAUGGUGUCUCUCGAGAAUGCAUGGAGGAGCUGAAGUCUGGAAUCACACUGCGGCCCUCCAGGACUGGAGUUAAACCUGUAGACGCUGUGGCCCUCCAGGACUGGAGGUGAACCUGCUGACACUGUGGCCCUCCAGGACUGGAGUUAAACCUAUAGACGCUGUGGCCCUCCAGGACUGGUGUUAAACCUGUAGGUGCUGCGGCCCUCCAGGACCAGAGUUAAACAUGCAGACGCGGUGGCCCUCCAGGACUGGAUUCUGAUACCUGAGCUUUAGAGCAUGAAACCUCAUGUUGCUCUACACAUAAUAGCCAGUAGGGGGGAGUGUUUCUGAUGACAUUCUGGACCCUUUGAUGGCUCAGAUGUUUAAAGAACCGUGUGGAGUUUUUAAGAGGCUCCAGCUCGACCAGUGACCCUUUGCUCUCUUUCUCCUGCCUGCUGAAGAAGGAGGAGCCUCUUUUGUGGGAUUUAAGGCUCCUGGGAGGCUUUGAAGACCACUGAAUUAUCCCAAUGCAUCAUGACAUGUUUGGAGCUCAUUAAAGCCAAUUUAUGUGUCUCAGUGCAAAUGGACAAUGUAUCAGUAAAGACUUCAUUUUUUCACAGA